CAGGCCUAACACAUGCAAGUCGAGGGGGAACAUUUCUAGCUUGCUAGAAGAUGACGACCGGCGCCCGGGUGCGCACCGCGUAUGGAACCUACCCCAGUACAGGGGAAUAGCCCAGGGAAACUUGGAUUAAUGCCCCGUAGUACCAAUUAGCAGCAUUGCUUAUUGGUUAAAGCCUUCGGGCGGUAUUGGAUGGCCAUGCGUCCCAUUAGCUUGAUGGUAAGGUAACGGCUUACCAUGGCUACGAUGGGUAGGGGCCCUGAGAGGGGGAUCCCCCACACUGGUACUGAGACACGGACCAGACUCCUACGGGAGGCAGCAGUGAGGAAUAUUGGACAAUGGGCGAGAGCCUGAUCCAGCCAUGCCGCGUGCAGGAAGACGGCCCUAUGGGUCUUAAACUGCUUUUAUACGGGAAGAAAAAAGGGCACGUGUGCCCUACUGACGGUACCGUAAGAAUAAGGACCGGCUAACUCCGUGCCAGCAGCCGCGGUAAUACGGAGGGUCCGAGCGUUAUCCGGAAUUAUUGGGUUUAAAGGGUCCGUAGGCGGGCCAUUAAGUCAGUGGUGAAAGUUUGCAGCUCAACUGUAAAAUUGCCUUUGAUACUGAUGGUCUUGAGUUAUGGUGAAGUUGCCGGAAUAUGUAGUGUAGCGGUGAAAUGCAUAGAUAUUACAUAGAACACCGAUUGCGAAGGCAGGUGACUAACCAUAUACUGACGCUGAUGGACGAAAGCGUGGGGAGCGAACAGGAUUAGAUACCCUGGUAGUCCACGCCGUAAACGAUGGAUACUAGCUGUCCGCUGCCUUGAGCAGUGGGCGGCCAAGCGAAAGUGAUAAGUAUCCCACCUGGGGAGUACGUUCGCAAGAAUGAAACUCAAAGGAAUUGACGGGGGCCCGCACAAGCGGUGGAGCAUGUGGUUUAAUUCGAUGAUACGCGAGGAACCUUACCAGGGCUUAAAUGCAUAUUGACAGGGCCAGAGAUGGCUUUUCCUUCGGGCAAUUUGCAAGGUGCUGCAUGGUUGUCGUCAGCUCGUGCCGUGAGGUGUCAGGUUAAGUCCUAUAACGAGCGCAACCCCUACCGUUAGUUGCCAGCGAGUCAUGUCGGGGACUCUAACGGGACUGCCGGUGCAAACCGUGAGGAAGGUGGGGAUGACGUCAAAUCAUCACGGCCCUUACGUCCUGGGCCACACACGUGCUACAAUGGCCGGUACAGAGAGCAGCCAUCUGGCAACAGAGAGCGAAUCUACAAAACCGGUCACAGUUCGGAUCGGGGUCUGCAACUCGACCCCGUGAAGCUGGAAUCGCUAGUAAUCGGAUAUCAGCCAUGAUCCGGUGAAUACGUUCCCGGGCCUUGUACACACCGCCC
rnacentral:rRNA from 1 species